GACGAACGCUGGCGGCGUGCUUAACACAUGCAAGUCGAGCGGUAAGGCCCUUUCGGGGGUACACGAGCGGCGAACGGGUGAGUAACACGUGGGUGACCUGCCCUCAGCUCUGGGAUAAGCCUGGGAAACCGGGUCUAAUACUGGAUAUGACUCCAUGACGCAUGUUGUGGGGUGGAAAGCCUUGUGCGGCUGAGGAUGGGCCCGCGGCCUAUCAGCUUGUUGGUGGGGUGAGGCCUACCAAGGCGACGACGGGUAGCCGGCCUGAGAGGGCGACCGGCCACACUGGGACUGAGACACGGCCCAGACUCCUACGGGAGGCAGCAGUGGGGAAUCUUGCGCAAUGGGCGAAAGCCUGACGCAGCGACGCCGCGUGAGGGACGACGGCCUGG
rnacentral:rRNA from 1 species